rnacentral:rRNA from 1 species
UAAGGAAUAUUGGACAAUGCCCGCAAGGGUGAUCCAGCCAUGCCGCGUGCAGGAAGACGGCCCUAUGGGUUGUAAACUGCUUUUACACCGGAGAAAACCCCCUUACGUGUAAGGGGCUGAUAGUAUGGUGAGAAUAAGCAUCGGCUAACUUCGUGCCAGCAGCCGCGGUAAGACGAAGGAUGCAAGCGUUAUCCGGAUUCAUUGGGUUUAAAGGGAGCGUAGGUGGCCUUAUAAGUCAGUGGUGAAAUCUCUGGGCUUAACCCAGAAAUUGCCAUUGAUACUGUAGGGCUUGAGUAUAGAUGCCGUUGGCGGAAUAUGACAUGUAGUGGUGAAAUACAUAGAGAUGUCAUAGAACACCGAUUGCGAAGGCAGCUAACGAAACUAUAACUGACACUGAGGCUCGAAAGUGUGGGGAUCAAACAGGAUUAGAUACCCUGGUAGUCCACACUGUAAACGAUGAUUACUCGCUGCUAGAGGGCAACUUUUAGUGGCUUAGCGAAAGCGAUAAGUAAUCCACCUGGGGAGUACGCCGGCAACGGUGA